CAGGCUUAACACAUGCAAGUCGAGGGGCAUCAGGAAGAAAGCUUGCUUUCUUUGCUGGCGACCGGCGCACGGGUGAGUAACACGUAUCCAACCUGCCCUUUACUCGGGGAUAGCCUUUCGAAAGAAAGAUUAAUACCCGAUAGCAUAAUGAUUCCGCAUGGUUUCAUUAUUAAAGGAUUCCGGUAAAGGAUGGGGAUGCGUUCCAUUAGGUUGUUGGUGAGGUAACGGCCCACCAAGCCUUCGAUGGAUAGGGGUUCUGAGAGGAAGGUCCCCCACAUUGGAACUGAGACACGGUCCAAACUCCUACGGGAGGCAGCAGUGAGGAAUAUUGGUCAAUGGGCGCUAGCCUGAACCAGCCAAGUAGCGUGAAGGAUGAAGGCUCUAUGGGUCGUAAACUUCUUUUAUAUAAGAAUAAAGUGCAGUAUGUAUACUGUUUUGUAUGUAUUAUAUGAAUAAGGAUCGGCUAACUCCGUGCCAGCAGCCGCGGUAAUACGGAGGAUCCGAGCGUUAUCCGGAUUUAUUGGGUUUAAAGGGAGCGUAGGUGGACUGGUAAGUCAGUUGUGAAAGUUUGCGGCUCAACCGUAAAAUUGCAGUUGAUACUGUCAGUCUUGAGUACAGUAGAGGUGGGCGGAAUUCGUGGUGUAGCGGUGAAAUGCUUAGAUAUCACGAAGAACUCCGAUUGCGAAGGCAGCUCACUGGACUGCAACUGACACUGAUGCUCGAAAGUGUGGGUAUCAAACAGGAUUAGAUACCCUGGUAGUCCACACAGUAAACGAUGAAUACUCGCUGUUUGCGAUAUACAGUAAGCGGCCAAGCGAAAGCAUUAAGUAUUCCACCUGGGGAGUACGCCGGCAACGGUGAAACUCAAAGGAAUUGACGGGGGCCCGCACAAGCGGAGGAACAUGUGGUUUAAUUCGAUGAUACGCGAGGAACCUUACCCGGGCUUAAAUUGCAGUGGAAUGAUGUGGAAACAUGUCAGUGAGCAAUCACCGCUGUGAAGGUGCUGCAUGGUUGUCGUCAGCUCGUGCCGUGAGGUGUCGGCUUAAGUGCCAUAACGAGCGCAACCCUUAUCUUUAGUUACUAACAGGUUAUGCUGAGGACUCUAGAGAGACUGCCGUCGUAAGAUGUGAGGAAGGUGGGGAUGACGUCAAAUCAGCACGGCCCUUACGUCCGGGGCUACACACGUGUUACAAUGGGGGGUACAGAAGGCAGCUAGCGGGUGACCGUAUGCUAAUCCCAAAAUCCUCUCUCAGUUCGGAUCGAAGUCUGCAACCCGACUUCGUGAAGCUGGAUUCGCUAGUAAUCGCGCAUCAGCCACGGCGCGGUGAAUACGUUCCCGGGCCUUGUACACACCGCCCGUCAAGCCAUGGGAGCCGGGGGUACCUGAAGUACGUAACCGCAAGGAUCGUCCUAGGGUAAAACUGAUGACUGGG
rnacentral:rRNA from 1 species